rnacentral:rRNA from 1 species
CCUACGGGAGGCAGCAGUGAGGAAUAUUGGUCAAUGGACGAGAGUCUGAACCAGCCAAGUAGCGUGAAGGAUGACUGCCCUAUGGGUUGUAAACUUCUUUUAUAUGGGAAUAAAACGUUCCACGUGUGGGAUUUUGUAUGUACCAUAUGAAUAAGGAUCGGCUAACUCCGUGCCAGCAGCCGCGGUAAUACGGAGGAUCCGAGCGUUAUCCGGAUUUAUUGGGUUUAAAGGGAGCGUAGGUGGAUUGUUAAGUCAGUUGUGAAAGUUUGCGGCUCAACCGUAAAAUUGCAGUUGAAACUGGCAGUCUUGAGUACUGUAGAGGUGGGCGGAAUUCGUGGUGUAGCGGUGAAAUGCUUAGAUAUCACGAAGAACUCCGAUUGCGAAGGCAGUUCACUGGACUGCAACUGACACUGAGGCUCGAAAGUGUGGGUAUCAAACAGGAUUAGAUACCCUAGUAGUC